AAAGUCGUAACAAGGUUUCCGUAGGUGAACCUGCGGAAGGAUCAUUAUCGAUUCAACACAAAUGAGAGGGGGGAUGCUUGCAGCUGUGCUGGCCUCUUAAAACAAGGCAUGUGCACGUUCAACGUCUCCUUUUCUUCAUUUACACACCUGUGAACCUGUUGUAGGGUGUCCCGCAAGGAAUGCUCUAUGUCUUUUUUCAUAUACUCCAUACAAGUUUUUAGAAUGUCCUUUCUUGCUCUCGUCAGAGACAGAAAUAAAGCCUUUAUAACUUUCAGCAACGGAUCUCUUGGCUCUC
rnacentral:misc_RNA from 1 species